AAAUAAAUUAUAUUAAUUUAUUAGAAUGUAAAUAAAUUAUCUUGGUAUAGAUAUGAAUACAUUUAACUCUUUUGAAAUUAUAUAAUAUUAAAAAAAUCGAAUAUAAAAUUAAUCACACACAUUUCCAUUCCGUUUCUGCAACAAAACCAAACAAGUAAAACAAUUCAGGAUCAUUCCUUUCCUUUCUCUGCAUUUCCCCUUCUGGAUUCCAUUCCGUUUCCCCGAAGCGAACCAAACGGCCCCU
rnacentral:lncRNA from 1 species